rnacentral:rRNA from 1 species
AUUGAACGCUGGCGGCAGGCCUAACACAUGAAGUCGAGCGGCCGUAGCAAUACGGCAGCGGCAGACGGGAGAGUAACACGUGGGAACGCGCCCUUCGGUUCGGGAUAACUCAAGGAAACUUGGGCUAAUACCGGAUACGCCCUUAUGGGGAAAGAUUUAUUGCCGAAGGAACGGCCCGCGUCCGAUUAGCUUGUUGGUGAGGUAACGGCUCACCAAGGCGACGAUCGGUAGCUGGUCUGAGAGGAUGACCAGCCUCACUGGGACUGAGACACGGCCCAGACUCCUACGGGAGGCAGCAGUGGGGAAUAUUGGACAAUGGGCGCAAGCCUGAUCCAGCCAUGCCGCGUGGGUGAUGAAGGCCCUAGGGUUGUAAAGCCCUUUCAGCGGGGAAGAUAAUGACGGUACCCGCAGAAGAAGCCCCGGCUAACUUCGUGCCAGCAGCCGCAGUAACAC